rnacentral:rRNA from 1 species
UACGUAGGGAGCUAGCGUUGUCCGGAAUCAUUGGGCGUAAAGCGCGCGUAGGCGGCCCGGUAAGUCCGCUGUGAAAGUCAAAGGCUCAACCUUUGAAUGUCAGCGGAUACUGCCGGGCUAGAGUCCGGAAGAGGCGAGUGGAAUUCCUGGUGUAGCGGUGAAAUGCGCAGAUAUCAGGAGGAACACCGGUGGCGAAGGCGGGUCUCUGGACAGUUCCUGACGCUGAGGCACGAAGGUCAGGGGAGCAAACGGG